GAAUUCCCGUACACACACAGCUGUUACACCAGUCGCUAAAUAAUCAAUAUUAUGCCCUUUGGCGAAACUAUACAGUCACCCACGCUAUAAUUCUCUAUAUAUGAAUUACCCGUCUAUAACACACCCCAGUAACAUCGUCUUUUACUAAUAUCGGUUACAGUACGGUUAGCAUAGGUCAAAGCACAAUUUAAGGUCACAAUACAAUUAUUAGUGGUUAUGGUGUUAAACAUGCAAUAGACGACAAUGAUUAGUACUUAUAUACAGUGUCAGUAAAUAUACAGGGUUAUGGUACCGUGCACUAUGAUACAGCAACACACUAUUAACACUCUGGCUAGACGGCUGAGCUCGC